AACUGACUCAACGCUUAUUUACAUGUUUAGCUAUGAGACAUAUCAAAGUGGAAAUGCAAAAAAAUGUAAAAUCUAAUUAAAAAUAAUGAAUGGGAAACACUGACAUUCUUCAGUAUAUUUAUAGCCUGUAUGCCAGAGACAGUAUUUCUAGUACUGUAGUCAGUCGGAAGACUCCUCGGAUCUCAGGCGUUUAGAUUUGGAGAAGCACUGGACUCACGUUCAUCCAGGGAGCGUGAGGGCUCCGGAAGUGAGGUGGUGGAAGAUUAAAGACUAAAACAUCUGGACUUCAUUUGUACACUGGACAGAGAAAAACUCACAAUGAAAAUGCUAUCUGUUAUCCUGUAAGUCUAAUUAGUGACUAUGAAUAAAGGUAGAGGGUUUUAUCUGAAUAUUAUAAGUGAAAACCAUUAGCCGAAAAACGGGACUGGUCCUACUACUAUUCUGUAGUAGGACGUUUCGACAGUUGGUUUGAGGAAAUAUGUGUGUGACCGGCGCGUAAUGUGCGCGCGCCUCCCUGUUGUUCCAUAGCCUGUGGAGCUGUUGUUCUCAGAGUUAGAGAAGGAACAACCACACGGACACUGGGAAUAGAGCAACAAAGGAGAAAGUAUGAGCCUAACGAAAAGUCUCAGGCAUUGUCUUUAAAAUAUUUUGUAUUGGGAUUAAUUCAGUCUUCGCAGUAUUUCAUUUUUUUGGAGGCAGAGUAGUUCCAGCUAUGGAUUUACCUAUGACCAGACGAGCAACACUGUCCAGUCGUCAUCGGAACUUUUGAUUGUCAUCAUUUUACCCUCGACCCAGAAGAAGACAGCGCUCACAAAUCAAGUGAACUUUUGAAAAUGCAUUUGAUUUGGAGAUAGGUAGCCACAUGAUACAACUUUGUCGACAACAACCACAACUACAUCGGCCUACUUUGGUUUUGCUGCACCCGCCGACUUCGCACAUGGGCCCUGGCUGCAUGGCUGAGUGCCUGUCAACACUGAGCCAUCUAGAGGAGAUCACACCAGACAGGAAGAAGUCCAGGGGAGAACCACUGCAAUCGCUCUCUCACUCACAGAUCAUCACUGAUACCACCAACCUACUGCAUGACUGUUGCCCUGAAGACUUACCCUGGGUGACCCAACCAGGCUUCCUGGGCAACUGAGACGUGAUUCUGGGACGGGCACAGUCCCUCCCCUCAGCCUGCCUGCCCUGCGUCAUCCCCGUCUCCCAGACGUCUCCUCUUGAGAGAAUGACCAUCGGCCCAGACCAGCUCUACC
rnacentral:lncRNA from 8 species